rnacentral:rRNA from 1 species
UACAGAGGGGGCAAGCGUUGUUCGGAAUUACUGGGCGGAAAGGGCGCGUAGGCGGCCGGCUAAGUCGAACGUGAAAUCCCCGGGCUCAACCCGGGAACUGCGUCCGAUACUGGUCGGCUUGAAUUCGGGAGAGGGAUGCGGAAUUCCAGGUGUAGCGGUGAAAUGCGUAGAUAUCUGGAGGAACACCGGUGGCGAAGGCGGCAUCCUGGACCGAGAUUGACGCUGAGGCGCGAAAGCCAGGGGAGCAAACGGG